rnacentral:rRNA from 1 species
AGAGUUUGAUCCUGGCUCAGAUUGAACGCUGGCGGCAUGCCUUACACAUGCAAGUCGAACGGCAGCACGGGGCAACCUGGUGGCGAGUGGCGAACGGGUGAGUAAUAUAUCGGAACGUACCCUGGAGUGGGGGAUAACGUAGCGAAAGUUACGCUAAUACCGCAUACGAUCUAAGGAUGAAAGCGGGGGAUCGCAAGACCUCGCGCGGACGGAGCGGCCGAUGGCAGAUUAGGUAGUUGGUGGGGUAAAGGCUCACCAAGCCUUCGAUCUGUAGCUGGUCUGAGAGGACGACCAGCCACACUGGGACUGAGACACGGCCCAGACUCCUACGGGAGGCAGCAGUGGGGAAUUUUGGACAAUGGGCGCAAGCCUGAUCCAGCCAUGCCGCGUGCAGGAUGAAGGCCUUCGGGUUGUAAACUGCUUUUGUACGGAACGAAAAGGUCUUUUUUAAUAAAGAGGGCCCAUGACGGACCGUAAGAAUAAGCCCC